rnacentral:rRNA from 1 species
UAAUACCGGCGGCUCGAGUGGUGGCCGAUAUUAUUGAGUCUAAAGGGUCCGUAGCCGGCUUUGCAAGUCCCCUGGGAAAUCCAGCGGCUUAACCGUUGGUCGUCCAUGGGAUACUACAUUGCUUGGGACUGGGAGAGGUAGGAGGUACUCGGGGGGUAGGGGUGAAAUCCUGUAAUCCUCCGGGGACCACCGGUGGCGAAGGCGUCCUACCAGAACAGGUCCGACGGUGAGGGACGAAAGCUAGGGGCACGAACCGGAUUAGAUACCCGGGUAGUCCUAGCCGUAAACGAUGCCCGCUAGGUGUCACGACGGUCGUGAAUCGUCGUGGUGCCGUAGGGAAGCCGCGAAGCGGGCCACUUGGGAAGUACGACCGCAAGGUUGAAACUUAAAGGAAUUGACGG